UACAGAGGGGGCAAGCGUUGUUCGGAAUUACUGGGCGUAAAGGGCGCGUAGGCGGCCCUCUAAGUCAGACGUGAAAUCCCUCGGCUUAACCGGGGAACUGCGUCUGAUACUGGAUGGCUUGAGUUUGGGAGAGGGAUGCGGAAUUCCAGGUGUAGCGGUGAAAUGCGUAGAUAUCUGGAGGAACACCGGUGGCGAAGGCGGCAUCCUGGACCAACACUGACGCUGAGUGAGCGAAAGCCAGGGGAGCAAACGGG
rnacentral:rRNA from 1 species